CCUACGGGAGGCAGCAGUGGGGAAUAUUGCACAAUGUGGGAAACCCUGAUGCCGCGACGCCGCGUGAGUGCAGAAGUAUUUCGGUACGUAAAGCUCUAUCAGCAGUGACGAAAAUGACGGUACCUGACUAAGAAGCCCCGGCUAACUACGUGCCAGCAGCCGCGGUAAUACGUAGGGAGCACGCAGUAGCCGGAUUUACUGGGUGCAAAGGGAGCGUAGACGGCAGCGCAAGUCUGGAGUGAAAUGCCAUGGCUUAACCAUGGAACUGCUUUUGACAUAGUGCAGCGUGAGUGCAGGAGGGGUAAGCGGAAUUUCUAGUGUAGCGGUUCAAUGCGUAGAUAUUAGGAGGGACACCAGUGGCGAAGGCGGCUUACUGGACUGUAACUGACGUUGAGGCUCGAAAGCGUGGGGAGCAAACAGGAUUAGAUACCCCAGUAGUC
rnacentral:rRNA from 1 species